rnacentral:misc_RNA from 1 species
GGCUUCCGUUCAUCAGAGCUCCUCAAGCUCCUUGUGAAUCAAUUGGAGCCUUUGACCGAGCAACAGUUGGUAGGCAUAGGUAAUCUGCAGCAAUCUUCCCAACAGGCAGAAGAUGCUUUAUCUCAAGGAAUGGAGGCGUUGCAGCAGUCCCUGGCUGAGACAUUGUCUAGUGGAUCUCUUGGUUCGUCCAGUUCAUCUGGAAAUGUGGCAAAUUA